CUCUUUUAAAAUUGUGCCCUGCCACGAAAUCUAUAGAAUACACACAAUUGAAAUUUAAGAAAUAUAACAGUUCGAUUUUUUGAUUCACGUUUGCGAUUCUUCAAAAUUUAGCUGCGAAUCUAAAGAAGCUUGAACUUUCUCAGGAACGUCCAUCACAAUCUUCGUUGUUACUAUGUCUAUUAUAUUUCUGCGAAUUUUAAUUAAUUAUUAUAUAUCGUUACUUAAAUCAAUUCGUGUCAUAUAAAUAUCAUAUAGUUAAUUACCACAGUGUUAAGUUUUUUAUUUUACAAAUAUUCAAUAUACACUUUUAUCAAUAUCAUUUUUUUUAUCAACAAUCAAUUUUUGUAAUAAUUUUAUAACAUUAAAAGCGCUUCUUCACUAAUAUGCUGUCCUUUAUGAAGGAUGAUAUCGAAACACUGUAACGUAACUAGUAACGUUGGUAACGGUGAUCGAUAUUUAUACGGUAAAAAAUCUUUACAGUUUAAUACUUUACCGACAUCACAUUUUAGAUGCAAAUAAUGAAUUAAUUAUGGGUCAUAAAGCUAGUUAAAAUAAAGCGAACAAUAUCAUAUUAAAAUGAAUAUAAUUUAAGAAAAUUUUCAUAAAAAUAAGGAUCUUUUAAGGUUAAAAUAAUUUCAAUUUCAAAAUUAUAUUAAACACAAAUUCGUUUCUAUGAUGUUAAUAUAUAUUAUAUAUUUGUAAUACACAUGAAAUUAUGUGUAAAAUAUAUCCAUUAUUUCUAAAUAAAUACGUUAUGUUUAAUCAUCUAUAGAUUGCGAUUUAGGCUGUAAAAAGAAUAUGGUAUAUGAAAAAAAGAAAAUAAUUUUAUAUUACAUAGAAUUUAUAAGAACUUACCAAUAUAUAAAUAUGACUUGGCAAUGAACGUUCUAGCAUUUCCGAAAGGCGUCCUUUACUUAAUUUAUGUUCUUCAUCUAAAAUUAUGUAAAAAGAAAUUAAAAAAUAAUUGAAAAAACAAAAUAUAUUUAUUAAAUUGUCGUAUAUUACCUGUAGGUACAGUUAGAGAUAAUAUAGGUAAUGCUACAAGUCCAGCAACGAGUGGACGUAAAAUCCAUUCUACUCUUCGUUCAUUUUUUGGGAGAAUAUAAAUAUCAACCUAGAAAAAGCACAAAGUCAAAUAAUCAUGAUGAUAUGUGUAAGAACAAUCAAUAUGAAUUUACCUGUUUUUGUCCAGCAAACAUAAAUGCGUCACUAGCUUCCAUUGUUAAGCGUAACGUGAUCAAGUAAUCAGAAUGAUUUUGUAUAAUAUAUGAUAUGUAAAGUGGUGUGCAUACCCAACCAUGAGCUGGUAAUUUAGUUUCUAAACUAAUUACUGCAUCUUCUAUCCACAAUGGAGCUAAUGUUACACUACUACUAGUUUCUGAUGCAGUCUCAUCAUUUGCACUAAAAAUAAAAUGUGUGUUUUAAUAAUAAUUUAUUAUUAAGUAGAAUAAAUCUUUUAAAGAACUACUUACCGUAUCCAUCUAAUAGUAAACACUCCUAUACUGACAGGUUGCUCACUACCAGCUUUAGCUAUUAAGCAAUAUGCAUCUGUACCUGCUUCACCAUCAGAAAGUACAGUUCCUGCCAAAAUACUAUCUUCUUUUUGAUUAUUUUCCUUUUGUAUCAGUUCUCCCUUUACAAAAAAAAAAAA